rnacentral:rRNA from 1 species
UUCCGGUUGAUCCCGCCGGACCUGACUGCUAUCGGAUUGAUACUAAGCCAUGCGAGUCAUUGUAGCGAUACAAGGCAGACGGCUCAGUAACGCGUAGUCAACCUAACCUAUGGACGGGAAUAACCUCGGGAAACUGAGAAUAAUGCCCGAUAGAACACUAUGCCUGGAAUGGUUUGUGUUCCAAAUGAUUUAUCGCCGUAGGAUGGGACUGCGGCUUAUCAGUUUGUUGGUGAGGUAAUGGCCCACCAAGACUAUUACAGGUACGGGCUCUGAGAGGAGUGGCCCGGAGAUGGGUACUGAGACACGGACCCAGGCCCUAUGGGGCGCAGCAGGCGAGAAAACUUUGCAAUGUGCGAAAGCACGACAAGGUUAAUCCGAGUGGUUUCUGCUAAAGGAACCUUUUGUCGGUCCUAGAAACACCGAUGAAUAAGGGGGUGGGCAAGUUCUGGUGUCAGCCGCCGCGGUAAAAACCAGCACCUCAAGUGGUCAGGAUGAUUAUUGGGCCUAAAGCAUCCGCAGCCUGCUUUGUUAGUUUUCGGUUAAAUCUGUACGCUCAACGUACAGGCUGCCGGGAAUACUGCAAAGCUAGGGAGUGGGAGAGGUAGACGGUACUCGGUAGGAAGGGGUAAAUCCUUUGAUCUAUUGAUGACCACCUGUGGCGAAGGCGGUCUACCAGAACACGUCCGACGGUGAGGGAUGAAAGCUGGGGGAGCAAACCGGAUUAGAUACCCGGGUAGUCCCAGCUGUAAACCAUGCAAACUCAGUGAUGCAUUGGCUUGUGGCCAAUGCAGUGCUGCAGGGAAGCCGUUAAGUUUGCCGCCUGGGAAGUACGUACGCAAGUAUGAAACUUAAAGGAAUUGGCGGGGGAGCACCACAAGGGGUGAAGCCUGCGGUUCAAUUGGAGUCAACGCCGGG